CGGGCUAAAUUUGAUGCUGGAGGACUGCCGGUGAUCUGAAGUUCGAUCGAAUGCAAAAUGAUUUUCUGGUCAUUCAAUGCAAGUACGACAUCAUUUUCUGGAAUUGUUGCGUCUGGUGAAAUAGCAGAAAAAAAUUGUGCUCCAUAUUUUACAAGUAGUAUGACUGCCCCUUGAGCAUGACCUCUCGACUUGAUGAAUCCCGCAGUUUCCAUAAUUGCUUGGGUGAAAUCACGUCGAAGAGGACCGUCAAUUCUCAACUCACCUACCGCUCUAAGGACAAGAAGCCGUAUAUCAACCCACAUUGUGUGAUUAAUAAUCACUGAUUACAAAUAAAUCAUAAAUAUUUCACAAACUGGAGGAAUUGGUCCACAUUAGGUCCAAUUUGGGACCAUCCAACUUCCUGUUUUAAUUGAACCGCAGGAUUGUCGGGAUUAGGGAAACUUCCCACGGCACCGACAACAUUUGCAAAAUUAUUAACUAGAAAUUGGGCCAAGGCUGGAGGAAUCAUGUUUGCCAAUUGGUAAGAGCCCUACGCACAAUUUGGAAAUUAAUUUAAUUCCAUUUUUAAAAGUGACCGGACCCACUUGCGUCGGUGGGUUUGAAGCGGUGGCAUAAUCCGGGCUUUCUCUUAUCACUUGCAUUAUGCUAAUUUACAAUAUUACAAUGCAUUCUGCUUAUUAUCAGCCAUCUUAUUGUGAGUAUUUUCAUCGCAAAAAUCAACGACAGAGUUCAUAAAGUGGAAAUGCAUGAGAGAAGUUGUCGCCUUAUUUACCACGCUGUCUGG